GGGAUGAUGGUGCAAUGGCUACCCCUUCUGCUUCAUAAGCAGAAGGUCAUGGGUUCAAUCCCAGGCCCGUCCCG
rnacentral:tRNA from 1 species